rnacentral:RNase_P_RNA from 1 species
UUAAAGGGAGGAAAGUCCGGGCUCCUUAGGGUAAAGUGCCAGGUAACACCUGGGAGGCGUAAGCCUACGGAAAGUGCCACAGAAAAUAUACCGCCUUUUUAGGUAAGGGUGAAAUGGUGCGGUAAGAGCGCACCGCGCAACUGGUAACAGUUGUGGCAGGGAAAACCCCACUUGGAGCAAGACCAAAUAGGAACCCAUUCUCAUUAAUUUGAGUGCACAUGACCCGUGUGGGGUUCGGGUAGGUCGCUUGAGGUAUAUGGUGACAUAUAUCCCAGAUAAAUGAUUGCCCGCG